rnacentral:tRNA from 3 species
GGAGAGGUGACUGAGUGGUUGAAAGUACUCGCCUCGAAAGCGAGCGUACGGGGAACCGUACCGUGGGUUCGAAUCCCACCCUCUCCGCCA